CUCUUGCGGCGGCGGGAGGCAUUAGAGCGUGCGCUUGCGUCUCUCCGGGCACCUCGUGCUCGCCGCACUGUUGGUUAUUUGUGGUGUUUUUGUGUGUUCCACUUGGUCUUCGCCCUCCUUUCUUUGGCAGUGGUUCAGGAUUAGAAGGGAGACGCGUCAUUCGACGCUGAGUCACGUCAUUCGACGCGGAGCCACGUCAUCCGUUUUGCAAUCUUUUGGUGCGCGCGGCUCCUGGCGUCCGAGUACUGACGCCGCCCUGAAAAGAAAAGCUGCGUCACUCUCCGACUCUGACGCGGCUGUGCUUCGAUGUCUCGUCAGUGUUGAUAUUGACUGGAAUGACGUUGUUGCUCUGCCAUUAGCAGGGACUGAGCGCAUCGGCAAGUGCGCGCUUCCAGGGCACUUCACCACCUUCUUAAAAGUGUUGACUCCGCCGACACGUGACGACGACGUCUUGGCGUAUCUGUUGCCUACACAUUUGUUGCCUGGAGUUCACCGGGAAAAAAGAUCGACAUGAGGAAGCGUCAGCGCUGCCGGUGCCCUCUAGUGCCGCCCUUAACCACCAGUAUCGGCGGCUGAGCAACUGGACGGCAUGAGGCGCGGGUUUUUCAGAAUGGGGGUGCAGCAGCACCCGUGCUCGGCGGUGCAGCAUUCCCGCUGGUGCUGGCGCUGCCUGUCGGUGCGGGACCUGCUGCUGCUGCUCUGCUCGUUCGCCAUGCUGUCCGUGUACAUGAGCUACCGGCUCACCAGCCUGCACCUGCAGCCCAACCCGCAGGACACCGC